GAUGAACGCUAGCUACAGGCUUAACACAUGCAAGUCGAGGGGCAGCGGUAUCGAAAGCUUGCUUUCGGUAGCCGGCGACCGGCGCACGGGUGAGUAACGCGUAUCGAACCUGCCUCAUACUCGGGAAUAGCCUUGCGAAAGUAAGAUUAAUGCCCGGUGUUUUCAGAGUCCCGCAUGAGGCUUUGAACAAAGAUUUAUCGGUAUGAGAUGGCGAUGCGUCCCAUUAGCUUGUUGGCGGGGUAACGGCCCACCAAGGCAUCGAUGGGUAGGGGUUCUGAGAGGAAGGUCCCCCACAUUGGAACUGAGACACGGGCCAAACUCCUACGGGAGGCAGCAGUGAGGAAUAUUGGUCAAUGGGAGGAAGCCUGAACCAGCCAAGUAGCGUGCAGGAAGGCGGCCCUCCGGGUUGUAAACUGCUUUUAGUUGGGAAUAAAACGGUGCUCGUGAGCCCCCUUGCAUGUACCAUCAGAAAAAGGACCGGCUAAUUCCGUG
rnacentral:rRNA from 1 species